AGCUCUGCCCUUUGGAAAGGAGGGGACCUGUUCUGGCUGGUGCCAUGGCGGGUGCCACUUGGAUUUCACGACCUGGCCAUGAUCCCCACGGCCCACUCCUUGCUGUGACCUACAACUGCUUCUCCGACCCCUCUGCAUGGGAAGCCACGCGGGCCCACAUUUCACUGCUUCCGAAUCAGCUCCAGCCACCCCCGGCGUGACGCAGCCGAGCAGCUGCCCGGCCAUGCCCACCCGUCC
rnacentral:lncRNA from 10 species